GUGAGGUUUCUCUUCUCCUGAUGUUUUAAAUGUUCUCAGAAUCCACAUGUAAAUCUUUGUCUACGGGAGAAAGCUCAAAAUAAACAAAAGAGAGAGCAGCUGGAACACUUGUGGAAGGACAUGGGCAGCGUGUGUGUGCAGGGCAGCACACUGGCAGGACCUGAUGCUUCUGCAAUGGGUCCCUCUGAGCUAAUACUAACAUGAGGAACUCUCGAUGAAGAGCAAGAAGAGAGGGAGAGUGACGCUGAUGGCAUUGACCACGAAGGUAAGGGAAUGAGGUCUAAAAGCUGCCUCUCAAGAAAUCCCCUCUAUAUUUCAUGUCCUGGAUGGACUGUAAGGAGAGCCUAGAAAACAAGCAAACAUUCAGUCACCUGACGUGUCAGAAUCUGUAGCAGAAGCUCAGCUGCAAUGGUCAGUGCAGGGAUAUCACUCUGUAACCUUUGUGAAAGUUCAAUUGUAAAUUUUCUAUUCAAGUAAUUAAUAGGUGUAUAACACACAUAAACCAGAGAACUCGUUAGGCUUGGGGCAUGCAGUGACCUCUGAACCUGAUUGAUGCACAGAUGUGUCCAUCAUCUUUUUGGCCUUACAGUUUCUGCCCCUGGCUCUCUUCCCUUUUCCUGUGACUGUGGUCUUGGAGCAAUCUUCUAAGUUGUUACAGUGUGAUUUUUCUCUUCUAUAGCUCACAGACUUAAUCUUCAUUCUUUCCCUGUUCCACUGAUGGGUAGGAUCACUUAUUUCCUUUGCCCUGUAAUGUAGCUGAAGAUGGAAUAGACUUUCUAUGUUGCUUUGGCUA